rnacentral:rRNA from 1 species
CACUCCUACGGGAGGCAGCAGUGGGGAAUUUUGGACAAUGGGCGAAAGCCUGAUCCAGCAAUGCCGCGUGAGUGAAGAAGGCCUUCGGGUUGUAAAGCUCUUUUGUCAGGGAAGAAACGGUGAAAGCUAAUAUCUUUUGCUAAUGACGGUACCUGAAGAAUAAGCACCGGCUAACUACGUGCCAGCAGCCGCGGUAAUACGUAGGGUGCAAGCGUUAAUCGGAAUUACUGGGCGUAAAGCGUGCGCAGGCGGUUUUGUAAGUCUGAUGUGAAAUCCCCGGGCUCAACCUGGGAAUUGCAUUGGAGACUGCAAGGCUAGAAUCUGGCAGAGGGGGGUAGAAUUCCACGUGUAGCAGUGAAAUGCGUAGAUAUGUGGAGGAACACCGAUGGCGAAGGCAGCCCCCUGGGUCAAGAUUGACGCUCAUGCACGAAAGCGUGGGGAGCAAACAGGAUUAGAUACCCCUGUAGUCCCAUGA